UAUUUUAUUUGUUAAAUCAAUUAAUUUAAUUAUAGAAUUCAAUUCUAGUUCUACAAUUUAACUUUUAUUGAUGGUGAUUUAAUCAUGUUAGCUAUUGCUUGGUUGUUUUAUCUUAAUGGUGAAUUAAGUUUAUAUCUAUUAGCAGUUAUUUAUAUUGUACUAUUUUUAUAAAAGAUACAGUCACUUAUAUUUUAACUAGCAAAAAUUGUGCCAGCGGCUGCGGUUAUACAAUUAGUUAGGUUAAUUUAUUCAGUAUUUUAUUUUAAUUAUUUAUUGAUUGAUGAUUUUAUUUAUUUAUAAGGUGAAAUUUUUAAUUUUUAUAUAUAUUUGGUUGAUUAAUUAUAAGAAAUUUUUAAUUUAGACUAGGAUUAGAUACCCUAUUAUUUUAAAUGUAAACUUUACUUGGUAUUAUAAGUUUUGAUCUUUAAAUCAAAAGAAUUUGACGGUGAUUUAAUCAUUUCAGAGGAGCCUGUCCUUUAAUUGAUAAUCCACGAUAAAUUUUACCUUAAAUUUUUAUUUGUAUAUCUCUGUUUAUUGAGUGUUCUAUUAGGAAUGAUUCUCUUUAUUUAUUAUGAUAAUUUAUAUCAGGUCAAGGUGCAGUUAUAUUAAGGAUUGAGAUGGGCUACAUUGAAUUAUUAUUCAUGGAUUAAUUUAUAUUGUAUUAUUUUUAUGAAAUUGGAUUUGAUUGUAAUUGUGAUUAUAUUUUUAUAAUGAUAUAUGUUCUUGAUUAAGUACACAUCGCCCGUCGCUCUCAUUAUUCUUAAAGUGAGAUAAGUCGUAACAAAGUAGGCUUAUCGGAAGAUGAGCCUGGAUUUAUA
rnacentral:ncRNA from 1 species